GGUAGCUAUGCUUGGAAUGGAUAAGCGCUGAAAGCAUCUAAGCGCCAAGCCACUCCCGAGAUGAGAUCUCCCUGGGGCUUCGAGCCCCCUGAAGGGUCCUGGUAGACCACCAGGUAGAUAGGCCGGAUGUGUAAGCGCAGUAAUGCGUUGAGCUAACCGGUACUAAUGACCCGUGAGGCUUAUUGGU
rnacentral:rRNA from 1 species